CACAAAAAUACUGGAUGACUAGGGGCCGGCUGAGGUUUGCAAUGACCCCUUCCCAUUGCUCUAACUUGGGAUCCACUCGAGGCCCCCAACCCAAUCCUAAGCCCCUUCAUAUAUGUUUUUUCACAAAUGAGCAGUGAUUUUAUACCCAUAGUUACCAGUAACUACAUAACAGUGAUUUUACCCCUCGUCUGCUAGUAAACUACUGAAAUCAGAGCUUUUGAGCCAUAUUCUCUGAAUCACUCUGAUCUGUCAAGAUGAUCUAAACUGAUCCUCUAGCACACAGGGAAAGACUGGUAACUAUUGACCCGGGGGCAAGUACAACCAAGUGGCCCAGUUAUACAGCACUCAUGCGGGGCAACCUACAGUUAUAGUAUCCAGAUUGGGUUAAGUAUGCAGACUCACUCUGCCUUGGACGAUGACACACAUGUGGGGGCGUGUCAACUGAGGAGAACGUGACGCUCUGUCAGGAUACUGUUUAAAUGUUUGGUGGUGGAGAUCAUGAAGGAGGAUCUAACCAUUGCGUUGGCCCACCUAAAAGAAUUUGAUCAGUUGAUGACUGCUAGAUACAACCAGCUUGUUGCCAGUAUCAAUUUUCCAGAUAUGGAAGAGCAUGACACUAACACCCUUGCCACACGAGAGGAGACAUCUGGGGCGCAGAUGCAGGAAGUGCUAAAUACCGAUGCUCAGGUACAUGUUGAGAGCGGUGCUGACACGAUCCAGCACAAUACAGAAAAUGUUCCUAAUUCAAUGAUGGCCCCUGCUGCGGAGGAUGCGGCCGAUCCGCUGGAGUGGGGGGAAGGCUUAUCCCGUGAUCAGAUAAAGGUCGGAUCGGGACCUUUCUUUAUAACUAUAGCUCCCAAGCCCCAUAUGAGAAUACGGCUCACCAUACUGCUGAUAGCUGAGCCUUUCGCACUGGAGAAAUUCGCAGGAGUCGUCACCGGAACCCCAUAGCUCCAGGUGGGCUGUUUUCCCAAGCCAGAAAGCUGUCAAUACCCAACAACGGACAUACAGAACUUUAUUGUCUUGGGGGAGGUAAAGCUUUCUCAGUGCAACAUCGAUGAAUGUGGUGUGGGUUAAUAAGGAAUGUACUAACCAUACUGGAGGAAAGGUACAACAUAAAUCAUCCUGCACAGUAUGAUACUAGAACAAUUCCAAGGAGUCUGACUUUCAUGAUACUACUUAAUUAAUGUUUUUACCAUCACAGAUGUAUUUUCUAUUUUUCCCUUUUAUUUACUUGUCCAAUAUUGAGAGUCGCUAAAUGUUUAAUGGAAACUAACAGGUCUCUUUAGUCUAUUGCUUGCACUGUUCGUUCCUGGUGUUUACUUAUCUAUCUAUGUAUUCUUUCAAAAGUUGCACUCAUUAGGUUGGUAGUGCCUCUAAUUUACAUAAGCCCCUGUAGACACACUUGGAACUCACAUAGCUCUACAUCUGCCUACAUAAUACCCUAAAGUGUGAGCAACCUUUUGUGUUCAUGCUACAACAAACUAUUUCCAAUUUCCCCUGCUACCUUUUGGGGUAUUGUUUACUUUUUAUGGCAAUAUCCCUCUGAUCUGGUGCACUACACCUCUAUCAUUUAUAUAUUUACAUAUUACUGUGUUUAACAGUUUAUUAUAACCACCUACACCAAUUUUGGACCGAGAACAGAUACAUUAUUAUGGAGUUUAUUAACUACACUAAUAUGA